rnacentral:lncRNA from 1 species
UGAUUAAGACUGGGGUGGCAGGUAUUAGGGGUAAUAUUCAUUUACCUUCUGAGCUUUCUGGGCCGACUUGGUGACUUUGCCAACUCAAGGAGCCUUCUUGUCCACAGCUUUGAUGACACCCACAGCAACUGUCUGCCUCAUGUCACGAACAGCAGAAUGACCAAGUGGAGGGUAGUCAGAGAAGCUCUCAACACACAUGGGCUUG